rnacentral:lncRNA from 1 species
CAGAUUUCUCUUCAAGUGUUGUAGCAAUUGCAUCACAAGUUUGAUGAAAUUUUUCAAAAAUGAUUGAAUCUGCCACUUUUCUUUAUUUGUUUCUAGAGUGAAGGCUGAAAAAAUUACCUGAACUGAAGGAGAAGUGAGUUUCUUAUCUGAAAUAUCACUAUAUGUUCACAUAGGAGAAGUAAACUAUUGAUGGUUGACUUGUGUUUUGACAAAUAGUUGGUGAUAGUUCAUAGUUCAGUGAUGAAAUUCAAAUACCGAAUACUUAAGGUGUGAUUUUUGCCAUUGACUCUUUGUUUCUCAUUUCUUGCACAAUGGUUGUUUGGUUAUUUCCUAUUAAUGAAAUAAUAAUGUAUAUGAACUUGCAUGACCUUUAUUGUGAAUUAUAAUCUUCCAAACUACUUAUUUUGGCUUCUCCGGGAGGUGAUGGACAGAUGCGAAAAAGAAAAGUUAGUGUAUGACUCAUGUUGGAUGGCAAUGUCAAUAUUACAGAUGGUUGCAAAACACUUUCAAUGUCAUGCAUUUAUAUUUAUUUUUUACAAUUAUAUAUCAAGUAAAGAACAUAUUUUGCCAAGUUCUUUUUGGCAGUUUUUUGGCAGAGUCCAUAGAAACAUGCCUUUGAUUUAGAUUGUGUCACGAGUCGUUCUCUCUACUAACUGUCAGAAUAAUCCGAAAGUCAAUCAUUCCCAGCUUUGAUAUGAAGGUAUGGGGGAGAUCAAAAGGGAGUAUGUUAGUCAAAUAGAGGGCUCUCAGGUGCAUAUCCUGUUUCUCCAUUUGUACGAGUACAUUAUUUUUUGUAGAACAAUAAUAACAAUCAAUACCAUAGAUUCAUAACUAUAAAUUGCUUAUUGCAAAUAUAGCAAUAACAGAAAAGGCAAGAUUCUUACCUCCUCCUUGCCAACUUCUACAUACAUCUCCCUACAUGAUUCAUAUAAUUGUAGCCAAGGUAAGAAACAACUGUACAAGAUAACUUGACAAUACUCUUAUUGUUAUAAACUCUAUCCCUCCCCCUAUUACAAGUUCGAUAACACUACAAGCAAGAGCAAAAUUGUAUGAUCAUUUGAAGAAAAUAAAAGAUGUAGCUUUUAAACUCUGCAUAAAGGAUUUGUUUUUCUCAUUCCAAUGCUUCAAUGACAAUUUUCUUACUAGGAGCACUGAGCACAAAUUAUUGUAUCAUUGAACACACUAAAUCACCAUUUAAAGAAAUAAUAGUAAUGAGAAGCUUAGAUGAAUUGUCAAUUUUCUAUUCUUUGACAAGUCUAAUAAUUCAAGUAUUUAAGAAUUUUAAUUAGUUUAUCCUCUCUUAAAAUUUUAUUGAGGACUCUUUUAGCAAAGAGAAGUCUCAUCGACAUCGGACCUUAUUUAAUAAUUCUAUUCGAGUAUUAAAAUGAAGAUAUUUUUUUAGAUGUUAAUGGAACUCUUUAACAUCCUUGCAGACUAAUUAAAGAAAGAAAGAGGCAAGGUAUUAAGAAUGUAUUCAGUGCUACUUCAAUCAAGUAAGUUUUACUUUUUCUGGUGAUUAUUUUUAUUUUAUUAUGUAAUAUGUGGAAUAUGGAUGGAGAGAUUUUAUCUACACCCUCUUUUUUUUUUGUAGACAUCUUAAGAUAUCCAGCCAUUUUUCGAGGAGUUUACUUUAACUAUUGUCAUGUCAUGGGAGAUGAAAACUCACCAAAUCUUUUUAGUUCGUCUUGACUUUGUAUUUGUUUAUAUUAUGCACACUCUAUAGAGUUUCACAUUCUCAUGGAUUUGACUCCUUUGUGAUUCAAAUACAUCUGGUAUACUCACUAAUUAGUACUGUUGGAUCCUUGCUCACCUAUAGUUAUAUUGUUGAGUGAGGCAAGUAACUGAGAAAAACAAUUAAAUUCCAAAAACAGAACAAGAAGGAGCCAACCCAUGAAAAAGGGAAAAACAUUCAAGUUCCAGAAACAGAACAAGGAGGAGGCCAAAUCAUGAAAAAUGAUUGAUUUCAAAUUCUCUAAUUUUCAAGACUUAAGGUACAAUUUCACAUACCUUUUUCAGGUUUUUGAAAUUGUAGGUCUCUUUUUCUUGAAAACAAACCACAAUGUUCUAUUUUGAAUGGUGUUGUAGUAGUAUUUAGUAGUUAUUCUUGGAUAGAAGUUACAGUUUUAGUAUUAGAUACAAAAAAUUUAAAAUACUUCACCUGUAGAGUCGACUUUAUAGUAGUUCUGGGAUUGAGAGACUAAUGAUGGUUGGGAAUGAUUUGGUAAUAUUCUUUCCCUUAAUGAGGUAUUAUGUGUGAUUUUGACACACAUAAUAUCUAAUGAAGAAGGUUUUACAUAUUAUGUGAUUAUGCAUGUGGGAUAGGUUUUGCUUAAAAAAAUUGUCGUUCAGAUUUUCAUUUAUUGAAUUGAUAAUCUUAAGUCGAGUAGUAAACUUAAAUGAAAGGAUACAAACAUAGCUAUAGCAUGCUUUUAUCUCUGUCACACACUCAAACUAUUAAUGUUAGAGUUAAGGUUAAUGGCUAAGCGGGUCUAACAGAUCUAUGUACUCCGUCCCUCUAUAUUAUCAUUUUUAGUUUUACUUAGUUGUUCAUUAUCACUUUAUUAGAUUCAGAAGCUACCAUCUUUGCUGAGCUUUGUAAAUCAAAUAGCAUUCUGUAAUAUAUGAUUUUUAGGAGGACAAGAAAAAAAAUUGUCCAUAAUAUCUUAAGACUGCUUCCUGUUAAGGAUAGUCAAGGAGGAAAACAAUGUGAUUGAGAUGACACAUGUAAUUUUAUUUUUCCCUCUUUUUUUUGUUAAGAUAAAUGAAAGUCCAGAGAUAAAUUCUUCCCUCCAUAUAUCAUUUUACUUGUCAAAAGAAAAAAGAACUUGUCACCUAAAAAUAUAUCACUUAAUGAAUUUAUAUUGAGUAGAGAUUUUGGCUCAAUUUUGCUAAAAGAGGACUUGAGCAAAUGUGUACCUUUAUAAGGUGUUCGUAGUGUAGAUAAGAACAUACAUAGCAAGUCAAGUCGGUAAGAUGGAAGUUGGCUUUUAAAAGAACUACUUAAUUAACUUCUAUUUUUAUCACCUUGAUAUAAAUAUGCAGUUUGUGCAAAUAAGAAGUUGAUAGACUUAACAAGAACUUGUGCUGAUUAUUUUUGGUGUGUGCACUUCAAAUAAUUUGCAGGGAACAACAAAUAGUAAUGUCUGGGCACAGAAGAGUUAGAUAUGUACAAAAAGUUGAAAAGUUGAUGUUCUCCAUAGUACAUUGGAUAGUCCAGAUGUUGACACAUUAUUAGUAAUGUCUGUAAAUGCAGAAUGUUUCUAACAACUUCGAGCAUUCUCCCUUUCUUACUUUUUGAUUAUUUCGUUUGGGUGCAAAUUUGAGUCAAUAUUUUAUGUAGUCUACCUUAUCAAUGAUUUUGCAGAUGCUUGAGUGAAUACAUUUUAUUUCCAUACUUGAUCAUCCCUUUCGCUAAUUCAUAUACAC